UAUGGAUCUGAACUUAGAUGGGAUUACCCGCUGAACUUAAGCAUAUCAAUAAGCGGAGGA
rnacentral:rRNA from 1 species